CAGUCGCCGCGGUAAGACAGAGGAUGCAAGCGUUAUCCGGAAUGAUUGGGCGUAAAGUGUCUGUAGGUGGCUUUUCAAGUCCGCCGUCAAAUCCCAGGGCUCAACCCUGGACAGGUGGUGGAAACUACCAAGCUGGAGUAUGGUAGGGGCAGAGGGAAUUUCCGGUGGAGCGGUGAAAUGCAUUGAGAUCGGAAAGAACACCAACGGCGAAAGCACUCUGCUGGGCCGACAUUGACACUGAGAGACGAAAGGUAGGGGAGCAAAUGGGAUUAGAUACCCGGGUAGUCCCUGUCUCUUAUAA
rnacentral:rRNA from 1 species